rnacentral:rRNA from 1 species
UGGGGAAUAUUGCACAAUGGAGGGAACUCUGAUGCAGCGACGCCGCGUGAGUGAUGAAGGAAUUCGUUUCGUAAAACUCUGUUCUAUGGGAAGAAAGGGACUGUACCAUAGGAGAAAGCUCCGGCUAAAUACGUGCCAGCAGCCGCGGUAAUACGUAUGGAGCGAGCGUUGUCCGGAAUUAUUGGGCGUAAAGGGUGCGCAGGCGGCUUUACAAGUUGGAUGUGAAAUAUUGUGGCUCAACCACAAACGUGCAUCCAAAACUGCAAAGCUUGAGUUAAGGAGAGGUAAGUGGAAUUCCUGGUGUAGCGGUGGAAUGCGUAGAUAUCAGGAGGAAUACCGGUGGCGAAGGCGACUUACUGGACUUAAACUGACGCUCAGGCACGAAAGCGUGGGGAGCAAACAGG